rnacentral:rRNA from 1 species
UACGUAGGGUGCAAGCGUUAAUCGGAAUUACUGGGCGUAAAGCGUGCGCAGGCGGUUUUGUAAGACUGUCGUGAAAUCCCCGGGCUUAACCUGGGAAUUGCGAUGGUGACUGCAAGGCUAGAGUUUGGCAGAGGGGGGUAGAAUUCCACGUGUAGCAGUGAAAUGCGCAGAUAUCGGGAGGAACACCGGUGGCGAAGGCGGUUCUCUGGGCCUGACCUGACGCUGAGGAGCGAAAGCGUGGGGAGCGAACAGG